CGGUUAUACAAACUUAUAAUUAUGUACAUACACAAAGACGAACAGACCAAAAUUUUAAUGGUAUUGUUUUUUAGUUAUUUAUCCUGUUAGUUAUCUUUAACGCUUUAGCUAAUGUUAGGUAUAAAUAAUGGUUUCUGUUCAUUUGAUCCCAUAUUAAUUGUGACUACGAGUCAGUACGUUCUGAACAUGAAGCUUCUGAGUUUGUUAGUCCUCGUAGCUGUCAUAGUGGCGAUGUGUUCAGCAGCCAGCAUAGCCUUGGAAGAUGCUGAGGAGUACCAUUCUCGAGUGAGGAGACAACCAAUAGGAAACCAUCCUUGUCCUUCAGGCAUGGCAUAUUUUUUAGGAAAAUGUGUGUCUUGUGAAACAUACGAGGAGUUAACUGAUGAAAUAUGUCCAGAAUAAGACUAAUUGAGUUUUUUACAUUUAUAAAUAACUAGCUGACCCAGCAAACGUUGCUUUGUUUACAUUUUUUUUCUAGUUGUAUGUAUUUUUUAAUGCCACAUUAUAAAAAAAUAAAAACAAAGAAAAUGUCUAAAAAAUAAAAUAUUUUUUUUAGUGUGUGCAGCCCUUGUCACUUAGGGGUAUGAAAAAUGUAUGUUGUUCUAUUCUCAGACCUAUCCAAUAUGUAUAAAAAAAUUCAUAAGAAUCGGUCGAACUGUUUCGGAGGAGUACGGUAACUAACAUCGAGACACUGGAUUUUUUUAUAUUAGAAGAUUUAUGUGUAACUUUUACAAUAUUCGCUUUAGUUGCAACAUGAUAAUUCCUCUUGUCAUAGGCGAAGGAUAGAAAAAUAAAAUGUCUGAUUUCA